rnacentral:rRNA from 1 species
GAUCUAGCUUGCUAGAUGCUGACGAGUGGCGCACGGGUGCGUAACGCGUAUACAAUCUACCUUUAACUGAGGGAUAGCCCAGAGAAAUUUGGAUUAGUACCUCAUAGUAUUAUAAUUAGGCAUCUUUUUAUAAUUAAAACUUCGGUGGUUAAAGAUGAGUAUGCGUACUAUUAGCUAGUUGGUAAGGUAAAAGCUUACCAAGGCAACGAUAGUUAGGGGGCCUGAAAGGGUGAUCCCCCACACUGGUACUGAGACACGGACCAGACUCCUACGGGAGGCAGCAGUGAGGAAUAUUGCACAAUGGAGGAAACUCUGAUGCAGCCAUGCCGCGUGCAGGAAGAAUGCCCUAUGGGUUGUAAACUGCUUUUAUACAAGAAGAAACCUCGGUACGUGUACCGACUUGACGGUAUUGUAUGAAUAAGCACCGGCUAACUCCGUGCCAGCAGCCGCGGUAAUACGGAGGGUGCAAGCGUUAUCCGGAUUUAUUAGGUUUAAAGGGUCCGCAGGCGGAAUAUUAAGUCAGUGGUGAAAGCCUACAGCUCAACUGUA